UAGACCGUUCGUAGCAGAAGUUCGGCUCUCGCGGGAGCUCGAUUAGGAUCCGGGAGGCGGUCGAUCGCCAUAAAAACUUGGGUGGAGUCUGGUUACUGUAGAAAUCUUGUUGUCGGGGAAGCUCGAAUGCUGAUGAAGUCUGAAAGAAGUUCGGGGGUAGUCGGUUGCUGUAGAAGGUCGGCUGACAGUGGGGCCCAAGGGGCCUUUGGGACGACCCGGUGGGUGAACGUAGAAGUCCAUUGUCGGAGAAGUCCGGACGGUCGAGGGAGUUCGGAGAGGUGCCACAUACAAGGUCG
rnacentral:lncRNA from 1 species